CAACGGGUUCGGCCGCAUCGGGCGCAACUUCCUCCGCUGCUGGCACGGGCGCGACGACUCGCCGCUCGAGGUCAUCGCCAUCAACGACACGGGAGGCGUCAAGCAGGCGUCUCACCUGCUCAAGUACGACUCCACGCUCGGCAUCUUCGACGCCGACGUUAAGCCCGUGGGGGACAACGCCAUCUCCGUCGACGGCAAGGUCAUCAAGGUCGUGUCCGACCGCAACCCCAGCAACCUGCCGUGGGGGGAGAUGGGCGUAGACCUCGUCAUCGAGGGCACGGGGGUGUUCGUCGACCGCGAGGGCGCCGGGAAGCACAUCCAGGCGGGAGCCAAGAAGGUGCUCAUCACGGCGCCAGGGAAGGGCGACAUCCCCACCUACGUCUGCGGCGUCAAUGCUGACCAGUACAACCCCGACGAGCCCAUCAUCAGCAACGCCUCCUGCACCACCAACUGUCUCGCGCCCUUCGUCAAGGUCCUCGACCAGAAGUUCGGUGCGUGCUCCAUUAUAUAUGCUCUCUUCUGCAAUAUUGUAAUGAGUCCAUGUCCCGAUCAGGCUUGGCAUGACGAUGCUUACUAAGACCUAGCAAUUAAUAUGAUGCAUCGCAUCGCAGGCAUCAUCAAGGGCACCAUGACCACCACCCACUCCUACACCGGUGACCAGAGGCUGCUGGACGCCAGCCACCGCGACCUGCGCCGCGCCCGCGCCGCCGCGCUCAACAUCGUGCCCACCUCCACCGGCGCCGCCAAGGCCGUGGCGCUGGUGCUCCCCAACCUCAAGGGCAAGCUCAACGGGAUCGCGCUCCGGGUGCCCACCCCGAACGUCUCCGUCGUCGACCUCGUCGUGCAGGUCUCCAAGAAGACCCUCGCCGAGGAGGUGAACCAGGCGUUCCGCGACAGCGCCGCCAACGAGCUCGCCGGCAUC
rnacentral:lncRNA from 1 species